rnacentral:misc_RNA from 1 species
GAUGAAGAACGCAGCGAAAUGCGAUAAGUAAUGUGAAUUGCAGAAUUCAGUGAAUCAUCGAAUCUUUGAACGCACAUUGCGCCCGCCAGUAUUCUGGCGGGCAUGCCUGUUCGAGCGUCAUUACACCCCUCAGGCCCCCGGGCCUGGCGUUGGGGAUCGGCGGAGCCCCCCGUGGGCACACGCCGUCCCCCAAAUGCAGUGGCGGUCCCGCCGCAGCUUCCAUCGCGUAGUAGCUAACACCUCGCGACUGGAGAGCGGCGCGGCCACGCCGUAAAACACCCAACUCUUCUGAAGUUGACCUCGAAUCAGGUAGGAAUACCCGCUGAACUUAAGCAUAUCAAUAAGCGGAGGA